rnacentral:lncRNA from 1 species
GAGUGAUCUAGUCUACCUAAACUGAUUCAGGAAGAUAAACUAGUAAAAGGUUUCGACCUCCAGGAUUCCCGGAGGAGAGACCACCAAACAACGUUACACUGACUUUCUCACACCCAUUUUCAACGAUCCUAACAGCAAAAGAACAACCAGAAAAUUAUUCCCUCGAACCCAGAUUUCGACAGGAAUCGUAGAUGGUCUAGCUGGCGCUUUAUUAAGCCUCUGUCUCUUCAUUCCUCGUCGUCGUCGUCCCUCUGCUCCCAUGGUUCAGCCAGCAGCAGUCUUGCUUG